UCAUCAGUGAGAUACCACUCUUGGUAAGCUAGAGCGCUCAUUUUUAACCGUUAUCCGGUAAAAAGACAGUUUCAGGCGGGCAGUUUGACUGGGGCAGUCACCUCCCAAAAGGUAAUGGAGGUGUACAAAGGUUCUCUCAGGCUGGACGGAAAUCAGCCAUAGAGUGUAAAAGCAUAAGAGAGCUUGGCUGCGAGACGGACAUGUCAAGCAGAGACGAAAGUCGGUUUUAGUGAUCCGACGGUGCUGAGUGGAAAGGCCGUCGCUCAACGGAUAAAAGUUACUCUAGGGAUAACA
rnacentral:rRNA from 1 species